rnacentral:tRNA from 1 species
GCCUGGGUGGCGGAACUGGUAGACGCAAGGGACUUAAAAUCCCUCGAUCCUCGUGGUCGUACGGGUUCGAUUCCCGUCUCAGGCA